AUUGAACGCUGGCGGCAUGCUUUACACAUGCAAGUCGAACGGUAACAGGGUGCUUGCACCGCUGACGAGUUGCGAAAGGGUGAGUAAUACAUCGGAAUGUACCCAGUAAUGGGGGAUAACGCGUCGAAAGGAGUGAUAAUAGCGCAUACGCCCUGAGGGGGAAAGUGGGGGACAGCAAGGCCUCACGUUAUUGGAGCAGCCGGUGGCUGAGUAGCUAGUUGGUGAGGUAAAGGCUCAACAAGGCGGCGAUCAGUAGCGGGUCUGAUAGGACGAUGCGCCACGCUGGAACAGAGACACGGUCGAGACUCCUACGGGAGGCAGCAGUGGGGAAUCUUGGACAAUGGGCGAAAGCCUGAUCCAGCAAUGCCGCGUGCGUGAAGAAGGCCGUCGGGUUGUAAAGCGCUUUUGUCUGGGAGCAAAUCCUGGCCUCUAAUACAGGUCGGGGAUGAGAGUACCAGAAGAAUAAGGAUCGGCUAACUACGUGCCAGCCGCCGCCGUAACAC
rnacentral:rRNA from 1 species